rnacentral:rRNA from 1 species
CCUACGGGUGGCAGCAGUGAGGAAUAUUGGUCAAUGGGCGCGAGCCUGAACCAGCCAAGUAGCGUGAAGGAUGACUGCCCUACGGGUUGUAAACUUCUUUUAUAAAGGAACAAAGUGAGGCACGUGUGCCUUUUUGUAUGUACUUUAUGAAUAAGCAUCGGCUAACUCCGUGCCAGCAGCCGCGGUAAUACGGAGGAUCCGAGCGUUAUCCGGAUUUAUUGGGUUUAAAGGGCGCGUAGAUGGGUUGUUAAGUCAGUUGUGAAAGUUUGGGGCUCAACCGUAAAAUUGCAGUUGAUACUGGCAGUCUUGAGUACAGUUGAGGUAGGCGGAAUUCGUGGUGUAGCGGUGAAAUGCUUAGAUAUCGCGAAGAACCCCGAUUGCGAAGGCAGCUUACUGGACUGUGACUGACAUUGAGGCUCGAAAGUGUGGGUAUCGAACAGGAUUAGAUACCCGAGUAGUC